rnacentral:ncRNA from 1 species
AAACAAGAAUGAUAAUUAGCCCCCUAAUCAUUAGAAAGUAGUAGCAAGGUUGCCGCACUUACUAAUAUUAGUAAACAAUAUUCUAUUUGCUAGAAACUCCUAAAGCUUAAUCUACCCUAAAACUGGCAAGUGUCAAAUUUUGGCUGUAGGGUAAAAAGGAUGUAAGAUAUUACAAUGGACAAUUAGCAGGAAACCAAAAGAUUUAUAAUUAUCUUAGUAGGAUCCUCAGAGACUGCACGAAUGUGAUUUUAGUACUUUCUAAAAUUAAGAAACAGUCCAACCUUAUUAGAAAUAUUAAG